rnacentral:rRNA from 1 species
UAGCAGUCGGCGGUUAAACCUGAGUAGCUCAAGUCAAGCGGGACAGCGCAAAAGGCGGUGAAACGGCCUGCCCGCAGGUGGUUUUUGUGGGGAGGAGAAAGAUGGUAGAGGACCGAACUCGGGGGGAAGGGGUAUAAUCCGGGUCUCCCCCGGAGGAAGGGGAGGUGUUUUCUAUUGGCUGAGGCCGCGGAACCGGGUGAAGAAGACAUGGAUUUGAGACCCAUUUAUAACCGGCGCAAACUUUGCUUUCAGGCGGCUGCUUGGGGACUACGAGCGCGUGCUUAAAACUCAAAGAACUUGGCGGCUUGUUAACUACCUAGGGGAAUAUGUGCCUUAAUCCGAUGCUCCCCGUAGAAUCUUACUGUGCCUUGAAAAAGUCCAGCCGGUGUAUUGCCGUUGUCAGCUUGUUGUUAGAGCAGAGAGUAACGAGCUCAAUGGACCCAAACGAUUAGGUCGUUGGUGUCCGUGAAUUCAGGUCGAAAUAUCGCCAAUGGCUCAAGGGAGUAGGUGUUACAAUUUUAAUUCUAAACUACGGAUUCCUAUUUUGAAAUAGUUGGAUGAAGGUGAACUUAGGAGUAAGGAGAGAUUAAUAUGUUUUCCUGAACAAUGCUCUGGCUUGUGUACAAACUGCCCGUCGCCCUCGCCGUGAGGUGAGGUAAGUCGUAACAAGGGUAGGGGUA